UGGGCAGCGGCGCCGUUGUCGGCAGCAGCCGGAGCGCGGUGAGGCGGCGGCGGAGCUCGGAGGCGGCCGCAGCGCAGUAGCCGUUUCUGCAUCUGGAGGCCUGGCUGCCACCUGCAUCCCCUUGCUCACCUGCUGAAUGAGCUGCACUCUCAAGCCAGGAUUUGUCAAUCCCAAACUUUGUCUGGAUGGAGAUGGAGGAGGCUGCGAGGAAAAGGAAGAUGGCCUGGGACAUGAGGCAGACACUGAGCUGCAGACAGAGACCAGGGAGAGCAAAUCCCUGCUGCAGAACCUCAUGGAAGAGGCAGUUUUCAGCAGCUCUAUGGAAUGGGAAUCCAAUGGAGAGGAUAAGCCCUGGAGAUGCCAUAUAAGGAGGAGUUGCAAACGCAGCCCUGGGAGCUGUGAGGAGGAAAGAUGCCCCCUGUAUCCAGAAGGCAGCUGGAGAUCCAUUUGGAACUCAGAGGUGGUGGAGACAACUCAUGGCUGGCAGAAAUCCCACAAGUGCUUGGAAUUUGGGAAGGGCUUCAGCCAGAGCUCUGGAGCUCAGAUGUGAUCUGGCUUCAGGUGAUCCACAUGGGAAAACGGCCCUACAAAUGUGGGGAGUGUGGGAAGGGCUUUGGGUGGAGCUCCAACCUCAUCAAUCACUGCAAGGUCCACACUGGGGAGAGGCCCUAUGAGUGUCCUGAGUGUAGGAAGUGGUUUCUGAGCAGGUCCAAUCUCAUCGUAAUGAGUCAAGGGGUAAGCUGGAAAUGUAUUUAUGAUAAUUGAAAACUCUGGAUGAGUCCAGGGGCCAGCUGGGAAUAUUACUGAGAUAGUAGAAGGUUACAUAUUUUAGUUAAGAUUUUAAAAUUUGUUAAGAAGCUAAAUUCGCUAGCAAAAUCACAUACCUUAGUGAAAGAGUAACAAAUAUAUUAGAAAGUAAAGCUAGGAGUGACAGGGAUAGAUGUAGCAAUUGUGAAGGAGCAGAGACCAUAGAAAUAUCUUGCAUUAAGAAUAAUCAAACCGUUAGGAGAGGCUUGAUUGUGAUCAGCAGAUCAAAAAGUCCUGCCAACUGGCCAUGAGUGAAGAGUUUACCAUGAGAAAGAGAGCUUUCUUCUUCCCAUACGCCCACUCCCUUGUUUCAAAAUCCCACUGACCCAAUUAAGGGAGUGCAAUUGCACAGCCAUAUUAGGUAUUCAGCUGAUUAUAAUACAAAGUGGGCAGAUAAUGAUUAUAUACUACACCUCCUUAGAAACUGCUUGGAUAUGUAAAGCCUUUUCUGUAUAAAUAGAGAGCAGGAGUCUGCAACUCCUUGCACCUGCAUUUGGAAAUGAUUCCUCAUGUGUCCAGCGCUGCAAUAAAAUACCCUUCUUUUCAGCUUUAAUUAGUUGAAGAGUUGUCUGUCCGUGCUUCAGUACAUCAGCAGAUUCACACAGAGGAGAGGCCCUUCCGCUGCCCCGACUGCGGGAAGGGCUUCAGGCACAACUCCACCCUUGUCACCCACAGGCACAUCCUCACUAUGGAGAGGCCCAAUGAGUGUCCUGUGUGUGGGAAUAGAUUCUCCGGAAGCUCUCACUUGAGCCAACACAAAUGGAGGCGUAAUUAAGGGACGCCCUGUGAGUGUCCCCAGUCCCGGUGUCACCCCCUUUUCUCUGCCCACAGAGCUCCUGAGCUGGUGGCAGCCACAGCCCCUUCCGGUGGCCUUGCACCUGGCUGAGACCUCCUGUGAUUGGGCAGGGAGGAUUGGGGCGUGACUGGGCAGGGAGGGUGUGGGCCAGGUAGGGAACACUGGGUGCUGUGGGUCUGCCCAGCAAGUGGUGAGUCAUCAGACCUGCUCUCUCUGAUUGGCUGACUCUUGUUCAUCACAUUCUCUGAUUGGCUGUGGAGAGGCCUGGGAGUUGAGAAAAGGAAUGGGAGAGAUCCCACCCUGAGGACUGGCCCAGGGACACCAAACCCAGCCUGGGCACAGGGAGUGAA